rnacentral:rRNA from 1 species
AGUGAACGCUGGCGGUAGGCCUAACACAUGCAAGUCGAACGGCAGCACAGUAAGAGCUUGCUCUUACGGGUGGCGAGUGGCGGACGGGUGAGGAAUACAUCGGAAUCUACUUUUUCGUGGGGGAUAACGUAGGGAAACUUACGCUAAUACCGCAUACGACCUACGGGUGAAAGCAGGGGAUCUUCGGACCUUGCGCGAUUGAAUGAGCCGAUGUCGGAUUAGCUAGUUGGCGGGGUAAAGGCCCACCAAGGCGACGAUCCGUAGCUGGUCUGAGAGGAUGAUCAGCCACACUGGAACUGAGACACGGUCCAGGCUCCUACGGGAGGGAGCAGUGGGGAAUAUUGGACAAUGGGCGCAAGCCUGAUCCAGCCAUACCGCGUGGGUGAAGAAGGCCUUCGGGUUGUAAAGCCCUUUUGUUGGGAAAGAAAAGCAGCAGGUUAAUACCCCGCUGUUCUGACGGUACCCAAAGAAUAAGCACCGGCUAACUUCGUG